UGAAUACGAGGCACUAAGGUGCUGAAGUAGUGUAUGUCAUACUUCCAAGAAAAGCUUGCACUAUCGUAAGAUAAAAAUGCCUGUACCAUAACCGACACAGGUGGGUAGGUAGAGUAUACUAAGGGGCGCGAGAUAACUCUCUCUAAGGAACUCGGCAAAAUAACUCCGUAACUUCGGGAGAAGGAGUGCCUUAUUCUAUAAGGUUGCAAUAACAAGAUCCAAGCAACUGUUUAUCAAAAGCACAGGUCUCCGCUAAGUCGUAAGACGAUGUAUGGGGGCUGACGCCUGCCCAGUGCCAGAAGGUUAAAGAAGUCGGUUAGCAAUUGCGAAGCUGGUAACUGAAGCCCUGGUGAACGGCGGCCGUAACAAUAACGGUCCUAAGGUAGCGAAAUUCCUUGUCGGGUAAGUUCCGACCCGCACGAAAGGCGUAAUGAUUUGGAUACUGUCUCGGAGAGGGACUCGGUGAAAUAGACUUGUCUGUGAAGAUGCGGACUACCUGCACCAGGACAGAAAGACCCUAUGAAGCUUUACUGUAACUUGAAAUUGAAAUUGGACUUUAUUCGCGCAGUAUAGGUGGGAGGCGUUGAUUAUAAUCUUGUGGGAUUAUUGGAGCCAUUAGUGAGAUACCACUCUUGUAAUGUUAGAUUUCUAACUUUGAAUCAUGAUCUGGUCAAAGAACAGUUUCAGGCGGGCAGUUUGACUGGGGCGGUCGCCUCCUAAAUGUAACGGAGGCGUACAAAGGUUUCCUCUGAACGGGUAGAAAUCGUAUCUAGAGUGUAAAGGCAUAUGGAAGCUUGACUGUGAGACCUACAAGUCGAGCAGGGACGAAAGUCGGUCUUAGUGAUCUGACGGUACUGAGUGGAAAGGCCGUCACUCAACGGAUAAAAGUUACUCUAAGGAUAACAGGCUGAUCUCCCCCAAGAGUUCACAUCGACGGGGAGGUUUGGCACCUCGAUGUCGGCUCAUCGCAUCCUGGGGUGGUAGUACGUCCCAAGGGUUGGGCUGUUCGCCCAUGAAAGCGGUACGCGAGCUGGGUUCAGAACGUCGUGAGACAGUUCGGUCCAUAUCCGGUGUAGGCGUUAGAAUAUUGAGAGGAGCCUUCUUUAGUACGAGAGGACCGAGAAGGACAUACCUCUGGUGUACCAGUUAUCGUGCCAACGGUAAACGCUGGGUAGCUAUGUAUGGAGUGGAUAACCGCUGAAAGCAUCUAAGUGGGAAGCCCACCUCAAGAUAAGUAUUCUC
rnacentral:rRNA from 1 species